rnacentral:rRNA from 1 species
AGGGGGCAUUGCCUCAGUAACGGCGAGUGAAGCGGCAAGAGCUCAACUUUGGAAUCGCUCCGGCGAGUUGUAGUCUGGAGGUGGCCACCACGAGGUGUUCUAGCAGCAGGCAAGUCCUUUGGAACAAGGCGCCAGCGAGGGUGACAGCCCCGUACCUGCUUUUGCUAGUGCUUCCUGUGGCCCACCGACGAGUCGAGUUGUUUGGGAAUGCAGCUCUAAGUGGGUGGUAAAUUCCAUCUAAGGCUAAAUAUUGGCGAGAGACCGAUAGCGAACAAGUACAGUGAUGGAAAGAUGAAAAGCACUUUGAAAAGAGAGUGAAACAGUACGUGAAAUUGUUGAAAGGGAAGGGCUUGCACCCAGACACGGUUUCGGCCGGGCCAGCAUCAAGUAGAACGGGGUUAAAAGACUUGGGGAAUGUAGCUACUUCGGUAGUGUUAUAGCCCUUGGUGAUGACCCCUGUUUUGCUUGAGGACAGCGGUCUCUAGGAUGCUGGCGCAAUGGUUGCAAGCCACCCGUCUUGAAACACGGACC